rnacentral:rRNA from 1 species
AGGGUUUGAUUAUGGCUCAGGAUGAACGCUGGCGGCGUGCCUAACACAUGCAAGUCGAGCGAGAAAUCCCCGAAUGAAACUUCGGUCGAAUGAAGGGAUGGAAAGCGGCGGACGGGUGAGUAACGCGUAGGCAACCUGCCCCUUGCAGAGGGAUAGCCAUUGGAAACGAUGAUUAAAACCUCAUAACACCGCACUGUCACAUGGUAGAGCGGUCAAAGAUUUAUCGGCAAGGGAUGGGCCUGCGUCUGAUUAGCUAGUUGGUGGGGUAACGGCCUACCAAGGCGACGAUCAGUAGCCGACCUGAGAGGGUGAUCGGCCACAUUGGAACUGAGACACGGUCCAA